AUACGUAGGUGACAAGCGUUAUCCGGAUUUACUGGGCGUAAAGGGCGUGUAGGCGGUCUUGCAAGUUAGAAGUGAAAUUCCUGAGCUCAACUCGGGCGCUGCUUCUGAAACUGCAGGACUUGAGUGCUGGAGGGGAUAGCGGAAUUCCUAGUGGAGCGGUAAAAUGCGCAGAUAUUAGGAAGAACACCGGUGGCGAAGGCGGCUAUCUGGACAGAAACCGACGCUGAGGCGAGAAAGCGUGGGGAGCAAACAAGAUUAGAUUCCCUGGGAAUCCACGCCGUAAACGAUGAAAACUAGGUGUAGGGGGUAUCGACUCCCUCUGUGCCGCAGUUAACACAAUAAGUAUUCCGCCCGGGGAGUGCGGCCGCAAGGUUGAAACUCAAAUGAAUUGGCGGGG
rnacentral:rRNA from 1 species